rnacentral:rRNA from 1 species
CAGCCGCCACGGGAAUACAGAGGGUGCGAGCGUUAAUCGGAUUUACUGGGCGUAAAGCGUGCGUAGGCGGCUUCUUAAGUCGGAUGUGAAAUCCCUGAGCUUAACUUAGGAAUUGCAUUCGAUACUGGGAAGCUAGAGUAUGGGAGAGGAUGGUAGAAUUCCAGGUGUAGCGGUGAAAUGCGUAGAGAUCUGGAGGAAUACCGAUGGCGAAGGCAGCCAUCUGGCCUAAUACUGACGCUGAGGUACGAAAGCAUGGGGAGCAAACAGGAUUAGAUACCCCAGUAGUCCCUGUCUCUUAUAC